rnacentral:rRNA from 1 species
CCUACGGGUGGCAGCAGUGGGGAAUAUUGCGCAAUGGGCGAAAGCCUGACGCAGCGACGCCGCGUGAGGGAUGAAGGUCUUCGGAUCGUAAACCUCUGUCAGCAGGGAAGAACGGUCACUGUGCUAAUCAGCAGUGAAUUGACGGUACCUGCAAAGGAAGCACCGGCUAACUCCGUGCCAGCAGCCGCGGUAAUACGGAGGGUGCGAGCGUUAAUCGGAAUUACUGGGCGUAAAGCGCUCGUAGGCGGUAUGUCAAGUCAAGGGUGAAAGCCCCGCGCUCAACGUGGGAACUGCCUUUGAAACUGGAAAACUGGAGUGUGUGAGAGGAUAGUGGAAUGCCAGGUGUAGGAGUGAAAUCCGUAGAUAUCUGGAGGAACAUCAGUGGCGAAGGCGACUAUCUGGCACAUAACUGACGCUGAGGAGCGAAAGCGUGGGUAGCAAACAGGAUUAGAUACCCGGGUAGUC